AAUGAACGUUGGCGGCAUGGAUUAGGCAUGCAAGUCGAGGGAGAACCCGCAAGGGGGACACCGGCGAACGGGGUAGGAAUACAUAGGUAACGUACCCUCAGGACGGGGAUAGCCAAGGGAAACUUUGGGUAAUACCCGAUGUGAUGUCAGGAUGUGAAUGCCUGCCAUCAAAGGUGAGAUUCCACCUGGGGAGCGGCUAUGCAUCAUUAGCUUGUUGGCGGGGUAACGGCCCACCAAGGCUGCGAUGAUUAGGGGGUGUGAGAGCAUGGCCCCCACCGCUGGCACUGAGACACUGGCCAGACACCUACGGGUGGCUGCAGUCGAGAAUCUUCGGCAAUGGGCGAAAGCCUGACCGAGCGAUGCCGCGUGCGGGAUGAAGGUCUUCGGAUUGUAAACCGCUGUCGGAGGGGAUGAAGUGUAUGGGAGCAAUCUCCUGUAUUUGACAGAGCCUCGGAGGAAGCACGGGCUAAGUUCGUGCCAGCAGCCGCAGUAACAC
rnacentral:rRNA from 1 species